CCUACGGGAGGCAGCAGUGAGGAAUAUUGGGCAAUGGAGGCAACUCUGACCCAGCCAUGCCGCGUGCAGGAAGACUGCCCUAUGGGUUGUAAACUGCUUUUAUACAGGAAGAAACACACCUACGUGUAGGUGUUUGACGGUACUGUAAGAAUAAGCACCGGCUAACUCCGUGCCAGCAGCCGCGGUAAUAC
rnacentral:rRNA from 1 species